AACGAACGCUGGCGGCAGGCUUAACACAUGCAAGUCGAGCGAGACCUUCGGGUCUAGCGGCGGACGGGUGAGUAACGCGUGGGAACGUGCCCUUCUCUACGGAAUAGCCCCGGGAAACUGGGAGUAAUACCGUAUACGCCCUUUGGGGGAAAGAUUUAUCGGAGAAGGAUCGGCCCGCGUUGGAUUAGGUAGUUGGUGGGGUAAUGGCCCACCAAGCCGACGAUCCAUAGCUGGUUUGAGAGGAUGAUCAGCCACACUGGGACUGAGACACGGCCCAGACUCCUACGGGAGGCAGCAGUGGGGAAUCUUAGACAAUGGGGGCAACCCUGAUCUAGCCAUGACGCGUGAGUGAUGAAGGCCUUAGGGUUGUAAAGCUCUUUCAGCUGGGAAGAUAAUGACGGUACCAGCAGAAGAAGCCCCGGCUAACUCCGUG
rnacentral:rRNA from 1 species